GAUGAAGAACGUAGCGAAAUGCGAUAAGUAAUGUGAAUUGCAGAAUUCAGUGAAUCAUCGAAUCUUUGAACGCACAUUGCGCCCGUCAGUAUUCUGGCGGGCAUGCCUGUUCGAGCGUCAUUACGCCCCUCAAGUCCCCUGUGGACUUGGUGUUGGGGAUCGGCGAGGCUGGUUUUCCAGCACAGCCGUCCCUUAAAUUAAUUGGCGGUCUCGCCGUGGCCCUCCUCUGCGCAGUAGUAAAACACUCGCAACAGGAGCCCGGUGCGGUCCACUGCCGUAAAACCCCCCAACUUUUUAUAGUUGACCUCGAAUCAGGUAGGACUACCCGCUGAACUUAAGCAUAUCAAUAAGCGGACGA
rnacentral:misc_RNA from 1 species